UUACCAAGAUUUUCUGGUGAAAGGAGGAGACAUACUGUCAGGCAGAGGAAAGAUGGUUGACAACAAACGACUGCAGAGCCCAAUCUUUUCACCACAAAGGCAAAAAGGAAGGCUUUCUCCUACACCCAGAGAUUGAACAAGAUGCUGCUUAACACUGUUACAGCAGUCUGGAUCAACAGAUGUGAUUUAUAGUUUUGUUUAGUUCAGGGAAAUAAUGCCAUCAGG